AAAAAUGAAAAAGAAGAAUUUUUGAAGGAGUACACUUGAGGAGACUCAUCUCACUCACGCACUGUGCCUUUUGGCUCUGAAACUCUAUCAGCGCUCCACAGAUCGUUUCGCGCACUCCCCACUUCUACUUUGCACGUGUUGUAACUCUUUGUAGUUUACUUGCCAGAUGGGAGAGCUGGCUACUGAGAAGCAUGUUCAAUACAUAUUAUCCGUUGAAAAGAGGAAAGAUAGCUUUGAAUCUGUGGUUAUGGAGCACCUAAGAAUGAAUGGGGCAUACUGGGGAUUGACUGCUCUAUAUCUUCUAGGAAAGCUUGAUACUGUGGAUGUUGAUGAGGUUGUUUCAUGGUUGAUGAGUUGUUUGCAUGAGUCAGGGGGAUUUGGUGGAAAUGUUGGACAUGACCCACACAUCCUGUAUACACUAAGUGCUGUUCAGGUGUUGGCUCUCUUUGAUAAGCUGGAUGUUAUUGAUGUAGAUAAGGUGACAAAUUAUAUUGUCAGCCUGCAAAAUGAAGAUGGAUCCUUUUCAGGGGAUGUGUGGGGUGAAGUUGAUACACGGUUCUCAUAUAUUGCCAUUUGUUGUCUAUCAAUAUUACAUCGCUUGGAUAAAAUCGAUGUGGAGAAGGCUGUGAAGUACAUUUUAAGUUGCAAAAAUAUGGAUGGUGGUUUUGGUUGCACUCCUGGUGGGGAAUCUCAUGCUGGUCAAAUUUUCUGUUGUGUGGGGGCCCUUGCUAUAACGGGGUCACUAGAUCUUGUUGACAAGGACCUACUUGGUUGGUGGCUAUGUGAGCGACAGGUUAAAUCUGGAGGUCUGAAUGGACGUCCUGAGAAACUUCCCGAUAUCAUCUCAGGUCUGCUACUCAUGGUGGGUUCUUUCUAGCCUGACCAUGAUUGAUAGGGUACAUUGGAUCAGUAAGGAGAAGCUUAUAAAGUUUAUUUUAGACUGCCAGGACACAGAAAAUGGUGGAAUUUCAGACAGACCAGAUGAUGCUGUGGAUGUCUUUCAUACAUUCUUUGGGGUAGCUGGACUUUCACUUCUUGAAUAUCCAGGACUGAAACCGAUAGAUCCGGCUUAUGCUUUACCUGUUGAUGUUAUAAAUAGGAUUUUCUUUACUAAAUAAGGACUUAAGUAGUUAAGUUCGACGAUAAUUAUCCAGUGAUUACGAAGUCUUGGGUUUGGACUCACUCUUGGGAGCUGGAUCUACCACCCGCAGUCCUGGUCCCCGCUCCAAAACAGUUAAUUUCGUUAAAAAAAAGUUCGACAUUUUUUAGCAUCUUUUAGUUAAAUUGCAGUCAUAGGACAUGUAAAGAUUGAUCAGUAUUGUACUCAACCAUCAAAUUUACGUUACUAGUUACUAGAUAGAAAUACAAUUUCUUUUGUUAAUAUGGUUGUGAUGCCAUUGUCUUGA